rnacentral:lncRNA from 1 species
ACGAGAUGAAAUGAUGAAAUGAAAUCAUGAGAUGAAAUGAUGAGAUGAAGUGAAAUGAUGAAAUGAAAUGAUGAGAUGAAAUGAAAUAAUGCAAUGAAAGAUGAAAUGAUGAGAUGAAGUGAAAUGAUGAAAUGAUGAAAUGUAAUGAAAUGAUGAAAUGGAAUGAUGAAAUGAAAUGAUGAAAUGAAAUGGUGAAAUGAAAUGAAAUGAAAAGAUCAAAUGGUGAAAUGAAGAAAUGAUAUGAAAUGAUGAAAUGGAAUGAUGAAAUGAAGUGAAAUGAUUAAAUGAUGAAAUAAUGAAAUGAAAUGAUGAAAUGAUGAAUUGAUGAAAUGAAAUGAUCAAAUGAAAUGACGAGAUGAAAAGAUGAAAUGAAAUGAAAUGAUGAAAUGAAAUGACGAGAUGAAAAGAUGAAAUGAGAUGAAAUGAUAAGAUGAAAUGAAAUCAUGAGAUGAUGAAAUGAUGAGAUGAAGUGAAAUGAUGAAAUGAAAUGACAAAAUGCAACAAUGAGAAGAAAUGAUGAAAUGAAAUAAUGAAAUGAAAGGAUGAAAUGAUGAGAUGAAAUGAAAGGAUGAAAUGAAAUGAUGAAAUGAGGAAAUGAAAUGAAGUGAAAUGAUGAAAUGAUGGAAUAAAAGAUGAAAUGAUGAAAUGAUAUGAAAUGAUGAAAUGAUGACAUGAAGUUAAAUGAUGAAAUGAUGAAAUAAAUGAAAUGAGAUGAAAAGAUGAAAUGAUGAAAUGAUGAGAUGAAAUGAAAUGAGAUGGAAUCAUGAGAUGAAAUGAUGAAAUGACGAAAUGAAAUGUUGAGAUGAAGUGAUGAAAUGAAAUGAUGAAAUGAUGAAAUGAAAUGUUGAGAUGAAGUGAUGAAAUGAAAUGAAACAAUGAAAUGAAGUGAAAUGAAAUGAGAUGAAAUGAUGAAUUGAUGAAAUGAAAUGAGAUGAAAAGACGAAAUGAUGAAAUGAUGAGAUGAAAAGAUGAAAUGAUGAGAUGAAAUGAAAUCAUGAGAUGAAAUGAUGAGAUGAAGUGAAAUGAUGAAAUGAAACGAAAUGUUGAGAUGAAAUGAUGAAAUGAAAUGAAAGAAUGAAAUGAAAUGAUAAAAUGAUGAGAUGAAAUGAUGAAAUGAAAGGAUGAAAUGAAAUGAUAAAACGAGGAAAUGAGAUGAAAUGAUGAAAUGAAAGGAUGAAAUCAAAUGAUGAAAUGAGGAAAUGAAAUGAAACGAGGAAAUGAAAUGAAAUAAUGAAAUGAAAUGAUGAAAUAGAUGAACCAAAAAUACUUAUUCAUUUUUUUUCUUUGCAUCCUUCUAAGAGUAUUUUAGUGAGGUUAAUUUCUAAAAAUAAAUUGCUAUUCAAUGACUAUACAGUUGGCCUUUGCACCACAGGGGUUUGAACUGUGCACGUCCACUUAGCAAAACCAACAAUUCUACAUCCUUCUCCACACCCUGCCCAUGAAAAGGAUGAGGAUGAAGACCUGUUUGAUCAUCUACUUCCAUUUAAUAACUAGUAAAUAUAUUUUCCUUAUGAUUUUCUUUUUUCUUUUCUCUGGCAUGUUUGUUAAGAAUACAGUAUAUAAGACAUAUAACAUAUUAAAUAUGUGUUAAUUGACUGUGUUAUUUGUAAGGCUUACAGUAGGCUAUUAGUAGUUAAGUUUUGGGGGAGUCAAAGUUAUAGUGGACUUUCUACUGUGCAGGGGGGCCAGCACCCCAACCUCCAUGUUGCUUAAGGGUCAACUGUACAUGUUAUUUCCUUUCCUGUAAGAGAAAAAUGAUGAGAAGGUCUUUUCUCCAAUAAGUGUAUUCAAAAUGUAGCAGAUUUGAAAUGUGUUGGCGCCACCAUUUUGCGUCUCACUUUGAAAACUUAUUAUUUAAAAUCAUACUAAAGCCUACCUAACUUUUCCAACCUUAGAAAAAAUGUUACAAAGAAAAGGGGUGAAACCAUGCUAGUUUGCCCUGAAAUUUGAAAUUAUCUUUUAAAAAUAUAUUUUUACAUUAAUUACUUCCAAAAUAGAGAUCAGUUGCAUACAAAUGGCAGGUCACCCUAAUCCACCCUAUGACUGCACUUAGAUCCAUGAGGAAUUGUGCCAUCUAGAAAGGGCAGAGAAGAGGAAUAGAGUGCUCUGCGUCUUGAAAUAUAAACAUGCGCAUAGCCACAUGCUUAGAUUCUGUUGUCACUGUGUACUUACUGCUAGGAAGAGGGCAUGUUUGUGUAUUUUUAUGCUAAUUAUUAUCCAAGUUGUUAAUGAUUUGCGCUUUCAGAACCAUAUAAAGAUUUUUUUCCUUUCAGAUAUAAACUAUCUUGCAUUGUUCUUCUGAUCAUAUGAGGGAUAAAUUUGCCUAAAUAUUCUUCAGACCAUAAUAGUAUGUCCAUAUAAAUGCCAGUAGCAAGAGUAGAAUCAACCACAACUGCCUUUGUAAUUAUUUAAAGCAUGUCUGCCUAUAAGUAAUUGGCAUUUUAUAUAAUCAAGAAUCUUUGAUAUAAUAAUCUCUCAACUAUUUGAAACAUGGCUCACAUGUAUUAAUUUUUUAUGCAAAUAUAUAUAUAAUAUCAGUGUAUAUGAAACUAAAUUUUGGACUUUAGAACAGCUUCUUAGAAUCCUGACUUAAAUGUCUACAGUAAUAGUUGGCUUACAAAAAUUUAGCACACUGUCACUAUGAUGAAAAAAAUUACUAUAAAUUUAUUUUAAAAAUUGUUCCACCCUAACAUUUAGAAUAUUCUCACAUUUGUGGUUAGAUGUGAUUGUUCUUAGAAUUUAGAUAAAAAAUGUUCCAGAAAGUUUGAAGAGAAGCACUUUAGUCAAUUUUUAGUUGUUGAAGCAUGAAGAAAUGGCAUUUCAUUGACAUUUUAAAAAUUAUUCAGAUUCCCUCUUUGAAUUCAAGUGUUUCAAAGAUAUCUUAUUUUAAAAUACCAAAAUAGGAAUAGAAUAUGAAGGGCUGGUUAUGAGUAAUAUGAUACACUUUUAUGAGAGGAUGAGAUUACAAUAACAAUACCUCCUCUCAUAGAAUAGCCAGCAAGUCUCCACUAAAUAAGAGUGCCUUGAUUUUAUAGAUGUUUAAUCAUGGAUAUUGAGUUAAUGUGAACCAUUUGUAGACACGGGAGUUUAUUAAAGAAUUAUAUAAUAUCUUUCAAGUAUUUAGAAUAGUGUUGAAAUUAAGCCUGCAUCCCCAUGAUUUUCAGCGGUGCUGAUGCCUAAUAAACUCAACCCCUUGCAUGCCAAAAUUGGCUUAAAGCCCAUCUGUUACCCAAGCUACACUUCAAGCAUCAAGGUUCAAAAAUGUGAUUUUAAAUAUGCAAGAGUUUGAGGAAUUCACUACUCACACUUUCUUGAACAGUCUAUCCAAGUGCAUCAAGCAAAACGUAAGUAAAGAAAUUUUGACCAAAGGAUUGAUAGUAAUGUUGAAUACAUUUAAUAGUAGAUCUAAGAUUAAAAGGUGAAAUUGAGGGUGAGAAGAGUGUAUGAAUGCUUUGUGUUCUGACAAAGAGAAUGUAGCACCCAGGUCCUACCUGCUUGGAUGCAUUGCCAGUGCCCACGGUAGGCCAUUUUAUCCAGGUUUUUAGGUUUUGAUUUGUUUUGUUUUGUUUUGUUUUUUUCUUUUCAGGAUAGUUAGUCCAAGACCAAUAACUCCAUAACUGGUAGAUUUGGAAGACUUUAAUAGUGCUUAACAUUUUGUACAUAGCUUUAUAACAGUUUUCUUUUUCUUUUUUUCUGAGAGAUUCUUUUCAAUAUACCCCAUCAUGGUUGAACUCAAAAAUCAUUGCUUAUUUAAAAUCUACAACUGCUGACGUUUUGUAACGUUCGCAUUCCAGACGCAACAGAGAAAUGCAUAAUGUCCAGUCAAUUUAUUAAAGUUCCAAAGUCGGUCGCGUGCGGUGGCUCACGCCUGUAAUCUCAACACUUCGGGAGGCCGAGGCGUGUGGAUCACGAGGUCAGGAGUUGGAGACUAGCCUGACCAACAUGGUGAAACCCCGUCUCUACUAAAAAUACAAAAAUUAGCCAGGCAUGGUUGCACGCGGCUGUAAUCCCCGCUACUCAGGAGGCUGAGGCAGGAGAAUUGCUUGAACCAGGGACGCAGAGGUUGCAGUGAGCAGAGAUGGCGCCACCACACUCCAGCCUGGGAGAAAGAGUGAGACUGCUUCUCAAAAAAAGAAAAAGUUGCAAAGUCAUACCUUUCUGCUCUUGUCAGGCAAUUAAGGGGUUUUUGAAUACUUCAGCCCUAACAAUUUGCUUCCUAACAUACAUAUUGCAGUGCUUAUCUAAUUUUAAAUAUCUUUUUGUUUCAACACCUAAUUUUUUAUUUAGAUCUAUCUGUAUGUUUACAAUAUAUUUUGCUCUGUGUUCAUUCUUUGAUUUCAGAACUUCAAUCUUUCUGAAGCAUGUUUUCAGAGUUUCUUUUUAGUUUCAUUAGUGGAAUUCUGCUGGUGGCGUUUUGUUUUUUGUCUCUAAAUAUGUUAUUUAGCCAUAGGUUGAUGAAUAUUUUUCUUGGUUGAGAAUUUCAGAAUGGCAUUAUUAUUCUUAACAAAUAAUAUUGUUUAUUUUACCUUUCAUGCUUUCAGAUUUCAAUAUGAUUAAAGGUAAUUUGAUUUUUCUAGUGCUCAUUGAAAUAUUUUUCCCUUCCUGAUUGUUUACUAUUUCUCUACGAGAUAUGUAGAUGUAGGUUUAUCUCCAUUGUAGCUUGCUUAGCAUGCAUAGAAUUUUUGAAUACACGGAUUAGUGUCUUACAAAAGUCUAGAGAAAUUUCAGCCAAAAUACCAUCACAUAUUGUCCCUUCCCGGUUCCCUUCUUCUAUGAGAACACUCACUAAACACAUGCUACACUUUCUCACUGUAUCUUCCAUGUCUCUUCAUGAUUCUGUCCACAUUGUGCAUUUUUAAAAAUUUUCUGUAAUGCAUUCUGAAAUAUUUAUGAACUCUCACCAUGGCCAUGUCUAAUCUGAUGAGUUCAUUUUUGAGUUUUUAAUUUAAAAUACUAUAUACAAACUACUUUUCAAAUUUGCAACAUCAAUUUUUUAGUCUCCUAAAAAUAUAUUCAUUUUUUAAAAAAUUUUUUGAAAGCAAAUGUGCUUUAUAAUCUAACAGUGAUAUUUCUACUAAUGAACCUUUGUGGAUCUGUUUGUACUCUUUUUCUAUUUUCCUUUCAAAUGGUGGAAUAUCAUUUCCUUGUGUACUUAGAUGCCUUUGAAUGACAAAGAUUUAUUUUUCUCUGAAAAUUAUUAUUGUGCACUUUUGCAUAUUAGUAAGAAGAAAAUUUGCCAAAGAGAAUUUGAAUUUUUUGUGAGUCUACUAAAGGCACCACCAUUCUGGGACCACAUUAUAUUAAUUCUUGGCCUAAAGGUGUUUGGACGUAUGUUUGGACAGCACAUUUAAACAAUUUUUAAAUUAAUUGCUGUAAAUCAUUAAUGAUUGAGUUUCUUUAAAUCUGUCCAAUCUCAAGUCAUUUUUAUUUGCCAUUUCCAGGGAAUGUGAAAUCGGACUAAUUUACCUCUGAUUCUUCUUUAUACUGAGGAUGUAAAUUUUGGUCCUAGCUUUAGGGAGGAGCUCCUGUGUGAUGCCCUAUCUUGGGAAAAACUAUGUAUUUCUUUACUGUCCUAUGUGAUGUAUGACAGUAGGAAUCUGCACUCAUUCAUUUUGCUACAUGUCCCUAGGGCAAAAUCAGUUUCAGUGUUUAGGUGUAUUUUGUCUGCUCCCUGCAUUCCCAUGGUUUUGACCUUAUAUUUUACUUUUUUUUUUUGUGAACAUAUCACUGCUUCAACUUUUUCCAGUAAUAUAAUCAAUUAUACUAUAAGAAAGAGAAAAAUUUUGAUAAAACACAAAUUUCAUGUUUUCCUACUCUAAAUGGCUUUUACGUAAAAAUACAGGUAAAAUUUAUUUGUGCUUUUUUGCUAUUUCUGUUUUGCUAUUCUCUGUUUGUCUAUGUCUUCGCCACAUAGACACAAUUAGGGAAUUUUGUACACUCUUGUGCCAACUGCUUUGAUAGUAACAAAAUGUAUUUCUCGAACUCCUAGGUAUAAAACUCAAGUAUCCACAAUUUAAAUACUUUUUUGCUCACUUCUAUUAUGUUUCCAGUCUCAAUAGAAAUCGAUGCCAAUCCAGAAAUACAAGCAUUAUUCUAAUACUUCUCACACAUUACUGAUAUAGAUUAAAUUUUCUAGAUCUCCUUAAAUACUAUCAUUUUUCACUUAUUGUAUCUUAACUGUUAAGUUCAACAUUUUCUAUAAUAUUAAUAUAUGUGAAAAUUUCCUUACUUUCUUAUUUGUCCCAGGUUCAAUGUUUUGCAGUCUCUACCUCACCCUGUGAAGCAUAAACAUUGUACAUGCUGUACAAAUAAUACAUCGUUCAUGUACUUAGAGAUUGCACAAUUUUUAUUUGGUUGACAAUAGCUAAUGUUUUCUUCUUCAUUUUCUAUUUCCUGAUUUUUCUUUAUUUAGUAUAUACUACACUAUCAUAAAAAUAAGGACGUUUUACAAACUAAAGCAAUAGCAACCCUAGGAAUAAAAUGCACAAAUAAAAUAUAUAAACAUACAUUUAGAUGUACCACGUAACCUUGUAAUUUAUUUAGACAUUUAAUUUUAGUAAAAUUUUAAUUAAAGUCUGUGUAUUAUGUGUCAUCGUCUUAGUAUUUUUUAUAUAACAAAUUUUGUAAAUCAAAAAGUCUCAAUGUCAUUAUAAACUAUCUUGGCAGAGGAUGAUCUCAAAGGAAUAAUUUCUCUCCCAAAUUACGCCAAUCAGAAUUUCAGUCUACCAUAAUUCUUUUAAUCAGUUUCAGAGGAAUAAUAAAUUUCAAAAUUGUUCAAGGUACUUCUUUUAUUUCAAGUACCUUUUGACUUGUAAAUUCUACAGGUGUAAAACUGUAGACAGACUGAUACAAACAUAUUCUAAUUCACUCAAAAUUAUAUGGACCUAUUUUAAAAUCUAGAUUUUAAAAUGUCGUGUCAACAUACACAUGUUCUCCUUGUGAAAUAAUUGCUUUUUAUUCUCUGGAUAGAAUAAUUUAAUCUUUAAACAAUUCACUGUUAGAAAUGAAAUAUUACAUAAGGAUAUGCUUAUAAAAAUAAUUCCCAACUAGCUUUUCAAUUCAGAAAUAUAUGUGAAAAAUCGUCAAACAUCUAAUGGAUUUCAAGGAGAAAUGGGUUAGUAAUUUAUUCCAUAUGUCUCAAUUUUUCCUAGACUCAAGGCUUCCUUUAAAAUAAUUGUAGGCAUUUAAGAAACCAUGUAAACUAAGAAGAAAUUGUGACACUGCCGCUUAGGCUUUUUAAAUCUUUGGACAUGAUUCAAUAUAUUUUUUAAAUUGUAUCUUAAUUAGACAUGGUGAGUUCACCAUCUUCCUGUCAGUAUAGCAUCCAAGCUGAUUAUGAUAGAUUAGAAGUUCAACUAUCAACUGUGUUCUGAGAGUCUAAAAAAAUAAAUGAACAUAUUUGUUUGGGUAUUCUUAAAGCAGGAGUGAGGACACAGUGAAAGUGAGACAAGGAAAAGAGAACAAAAUAAAACAGGAAAGAUAGAAAAGCCAAUAACACACGUGUUAAGAGUAACAAGCUCCCGUGCUGCUAGAGAAAGUCCUCAGCUAGAAACUGGUGCAAAUUCUGGAGAUGAGACCUUGUAGAGUGUUAAGAAUGGUUUUCUUCCCAGCAGCUACAGGUAAGGAAUAGGGGCUGGGCUAUUAAUACAUCUGCUACAAACCAAUAAAGCCCUUAUGCUCCUUUUGGUGAUCGACAAUGUAUUUAAAAAUAUUAGAUGAUCAAGAAGGGCUGCAGAAAAGAGGAAACAGAAACAAACAGCACACCUCUUGGUUUAUUUUUAUUCAUUUCAUCAGUUUCAAGGAAAAUGUGUUGGGAGUUCCUGGCAUAGACAAUGUCACAAAGACAUAUUUUCAAUAGUAGUGCUAUCCCUAGGGCAGAGAAGACCCAGAGAAAGCCCAAGUGGCUGCUGGAACAAAGUCAGACACCGUGCCACCUGUCCACACUCCUUGGCUCUGCCAUCAUACUGAAGAUCGCUUUAAAGGACUGGCUUCCCUCCCCCCAAAAUUAAACGAGCACAGACU